CACUCCUGCGGGAGGCAGCAGUGGGGAAUUUUGGACAAUGGGCGAAAGCCUGAUCCAGCCAUGCCGCGUGCAGGAUGAAGGCCUUCGGGUUGUAAACUGCUUUUGUACGGAACGAAACGGCCUUUUCUAAUAAAGAGGGCUAAUGACGGUACCGUAAGAAUAAGCACCGGCUAACUACGUGCCAGCAGCCGCGGUAAUACGUAGGGUGCAAGCGUUAAUCGGAAUUACUGGGCGUAAAGCGUGCGCAGGCGGUUAUGUAAGUCAGUUGUGAAAUCCCCGGGCUCAACCUGGGAACUGCAUCUGUGACUGCAUAGCUAGAGUACGGUAGAGGGGGAUGGAAUUCCGCGUGUAGCAGUGAAAUGCGUAGAUAUGCGGAGGAACACCGAUGGCGAAGGCAAUCCCCUGGACCUGUACUGACGCUCUUGCACGAAAGCGUGGGGAGCAAACAGGAUUAGAUACCCCAGUAGUCCCAUGAU
rnacentral:rRNA from 1 species